rnacentral:rRNA from 1 species
GUAAGGAAUAUUGCGCAAUGGAGGCAACUCUGACGCAGCCAUGCCGCGUGCAGGAAGAAGGCGCUACGCGUUGUAAACUGCUUUUAACCGGGAAGAAACCCCAGGACGUGUCCUGGGUUGACGGUACCGGAGGAAUAAGCACCGGCUAACUUCGUGCCAGCAGCCGCGGUAAUACGAAGGGGGCUAGCGUUAUCCGGAUUCAUUGGGUUUAAAGGGUGCGUAGGCGGAGCGUUAAGUCAGUGGUGAAAUCCUGCAGCUUAACUGUAGACUUGCCAUUGAUACUGGCGCUCUUGAGUGCGCUUGAAGUGGGCGGAAUGUGCCGUGUAGCGGUGAAAUGCUUAGAUAUGGCACAGAACACCAAUUGCGAAGGCAGCUCACUAAGGCGAUACUGACGCUGAGGCACGAAAGCGUGGGGAUCGAACAGGAUUAGAUACCCGUGUAGUCC